GGAGAAGGGUAAGGGAGCCCUCCACACUCUUCCUUUCCCUUUACUUGAUAUUGCUUGGAUUUUUAUGAGAUUAAGCCCUCCUUUGCUUGAUUAGAGACUUCCUCACCUCGGUUGAAGCUUGGAGCUUGAGUUUGGAGCAAAGUUGAGGGAAGAUCCUUGAAGUUUGAGAGUUUAGAGCUUGGAUUGAAGCUUCUAAGAGGGCUUUUGGAGCGUGAUUGAUUGGAUUAGAACCUUCCUCUAGGAUAGAUUGGAAGGGUUCUAGCCCUCCUUUGGAGCUUAAGAGAGGAUUUUUACUCUUGAGGGUAUUUUGAGACGCGGGGACAACUUUGUUCGGCGAAACGAGGCACUACGCGAC